UACGAAGGGUGCAAGCGUUACUCGGAAUCACUGGGCGUAAAGCGUGCGUAGGCGGUUUCUUAAGUCUGUCGUGAAAGCCCAGGGCUCAACCCUGGAAGUGCACUCGAAACUGGAAGGCUAGAGUACCGGAGAGGUUGGUGGAAUUCUCGGUGUAGAGGUGAAAUUCGUAGAUAUCGAGAGGAACACCGGUGGCGAAGGCGGCCAACUGGACGAGUACUGACGCUGAGACACGAAAGCGUGGGGAGCAAACAGG
rnacentral:rRNA from 1 species